GAUGAACGCUGGCGGCGUGCCUAAUACAUGCAAGUCGAGCGAACAGACGAGGAGCUUGCUCCUCUGACGUUAGCGGCGGACGGGUGAGUAACACGUGGAUAACCUACCUAUAAGACUGGGAUAACUUCGGGAAACCGGAGCUAAUACCGGAUAAUAUAUUGAACCGCAUGGUUCAAUAGUGAAAGACGGUUUUGCUGUCACUUAUAGAUGGAUCCGCGCCGCAUUAGCUAGUUGGUAAGGUAACGGCUUACCAAGGCGACGAUGCGUAGCCGACCUGAGAGGGUGAUCGGCCACACUGGAACUGAGACACGGUCCAGACUCCUACGGGAGGCAGCAGUAGGGAAUCUGCCGCAAUGGGCGAAAGCCUGACGGAGCAACGCCGCGUGAGUGAUGAAGGUCUUCGGAUCGUAAAGCUCUGUUAUUAGGGAAGAACAAAUGUGUAAGUAACUAUGCACGUCUUGACGGUACCUAAUCAGAAAGCCACGGCUAACUACGUG
rnacentral:rRNA from 1 species